rnacentral:lncRNA from 1 species
CAAAUAAGAUAACAUUUAAUGCUCCCAAUAUUACAUAGAAUCCACAUGGAAGUAAUAUCAAACGCAUUUAAAAGUAUAAAAUCUUUAUCACAUAAAUAUAUGAGAAUUGUAAAUAUUUUGAUAUAAGCGUCACUGAUGAGUCUUAUGUAGACGAAACGCGCGUCUGUCGUACUAAAUUAUAAUCCUGGUACCUUUAAUAACUAAUUGCAUCUGACUUUCAAUAUAUUUGUAUACAGACGUUAAACGUUUGCUGUUUACGAUAUGGAAUGGUUACAACAAUACGAUGUGAACUGCGCAUGUGUCAUUGCGAUCAGUGUAAAGUAAAAUACAAGGCUUUUUAUAAUAUAAAAUCCAGUGAUAUUCAGAAUUUCCC